UAAUGUAGGCGUUGUGGGUCAAGUAUCCACUCAGUUGCAAAUUGCAAUUGAUUAGUUUGUCUUGUUGCUGUAAAUUGAAAAAGUAUCUAAAGUGUGAAUAGCAGUUUGUUCCAAUUUGCAACCCUCGAAGAAGCAAUGGCGAAACAAAACAUGUCAGCAUGGACAUGGAGUCCUAAGAAGUACGACGUUUUCAUCAGCUUCAGAGGUGAGGACGUCCGCUCCAACUUCAUUAGCCAUCUUCGUUCUGCUCUCGAUCGAGCCAACAUCAAAGCAUACGCCGAUGACGCUAACCUUCAUAAAGGAGACGAGGUUUGGCCCUCACUGUCCCAAGCAAUUCACGACUCACACCUCGCCAUCGUCGUUUUCUCCGAAACCUACGCUGAUUCCAAGUGGUGCUUGAAAGAACUGGUGGAAAUACUUCACUGCAGAAUAAUUCAGGGACUCGUAGCCAUACCUGUGUUCUACGAAGUGGAUCCAUCCCACAUAAGGAAUUACAGUGGCCCUUACGGAGAAGCAAUUGCAAAACAUGAGACAUAUUUUGGUGACACAGACAACCAAAUCCUCCAAGACUGGAAAGCUGCUCUCACUGAAGCUGCCAAUAUAUCUGGAUGGGACUCUCGUAGCCGUGACUACAAGAAUGAAUCUCAAGUAAUAGAGAAAAUUGUGAAAGAUGUAUCCCACAAGUUGAGCCUAAGGUUCCCUGUUGAACUAAAAGUACAAGACCUUGUUGAAAUUGAAAAGCACUGUGAAGAAGUCAAAUUGUUGCUGUCAGAAGAUCAAAAACAUCAGUUACAACAAAAUGUUCAAGUAAUUGGAAUUUGGGGCAUGGGCGGGAUUGGAAAGACAACUAUUGCCAAAGCCUUGUUUUCUCAACUCUUUCCGCAAUAUGAUGCUGUCUGCUUCUUAGCAAAUGUUAGAGAGGAAGCAAAAAGGCUUGGACUAACCUCUUUAUGUGAUAAGCUUCUUUCUGAGCUGCUCAAGGAUGAACAUCAUAAAGAUAAUCCUGCAGGAUCCACAUUCAUUCUGAGGAGGCUCAGCAAUAAAAGAGUUUUGAUUGUACUCGAUGAUAUGGAUAGUUUAGAUCAAGUAGAUAUUUUGUUUAGAGAACAAUGUAACUUUGUAGGCCCAGAUAGUAAAGUUAUUAUAACAACAAGAAAUAGGCAUUUGCUUACCGGAAGAGUUGAUAAGAUAUACGAGGUUGGGAUAUGGAACUUUGUCGAAUCUCUAGAACUUUUUUGCUUACAUGCCUUCAAGGAAAGACAUCCUAAUAAGGGAUAUGAAGAUCUCUCAGAAAGGGCCGUGAAAUAUGCAGGGGGAGUUCCAUUAGCUUUAAAAGUUUUGGGUUCUAAUCUUCAUUGUAGAAGUACAGAAUUUUGGGAAUGUGAAUUGAGUAAACUCAUGAAUUGUCCCAAUGACAGAAUUCAAAAUGUAUUACAAGUGAGCUAUGAUGAAUUAGACAACCUAGAGAAGAAAAUAUUUCUGGACAUUGCAUUCUUUUUCAAAGGUGAAGACAAAGAUUAUGUCGUAAGAAUACUAGAUGCCUGUGGCUUCUAUGCUACCAGUGGAGUAAAGGUCCUUGAAGACAAAGCUCUUAUAACUAUUUCAUAUUCUGGGACGAUACAAAUGCAUGACUUGAUACAGGAAAUGGGCUUGAACAUAGUUCGUGGGGGCAUUGAAGAUCCAGGAAAACGUAGUCGAUUGAGAGAUAUAGAAGAAAUUUCUGAUGUACUUGAAAAUAAAAAGGGGAGUAAUGUAAUUGAAGGGAUAAAAUUAGAUUUGUCUGAGAUUGAGGAUUUGCACUUGAAAACUAACACAUUGAAUUUGAUGACUAAUUUAAGAAUUCUUAGAUUAUAUGUACCUUCGGGUAAGAGAUCAGGAAAUGUGCACUAUUCUGGCGUCCUUAAUAAUUUGUCUGGUAAAUUGAGGUACCUUGAGUGGAAUGGAUGCUUUUUGAAGUCUUUUCCAGUAACCUUUUGUGCUAAGAUGCUUGUUGAGGUUUGCAUGCCACACAGCCAUGUUACAGAACUUUGGCAGGGGGUGCAGGAUGUUGCAAAUUUAGUGCGAAUUGACUUAAGUGAAUGCAAGCACUUGAAGAACCUCCCAGAUUUGUCUAAGGCGUCAAGGCUUAAAUGGGUCAAUCUUUUCGGUUGUGAAAGUUUGUGUGAUAUUCAUCCAUCUGUUUUCUCUUUUGACACACUUGAAACUUUGAUACUGGAUGGCUGCAAAAAGCUCAAGAGUCUCAAAAGUGAGAAACAUUUAACAUCUUUGGAGAAUAUUAGUGUCAAUCUUUGCACUAGUCUCAUGGAAUUCUCCGUGUCAUCAGAUUCAAUCACAAGUUUGGAUUUAAGCAGCACAGGUAUUGAAAUGUUGGACUCUCCUUCAUUUCGGCGUCUUAGAAAUCUCAAGGCACUCAGUGUAUAUCGUUUGAGACGGGCUCCUGUUGAUUUAUUUUUCCUAAAAGAUCUUGCGGAGCUUAGAAUUUUUAAUUGUAGACUGGCAAUUAGUAAACAUUUGCUGCAUUCAUUAUUUUGUCGCUCAAAAUCUCUACAACUACUACACUUGAAGAAUUGUUGUAACUUGUUUGAGCUCCCUGACAACAUCGGUGGCUUAUAUGCAUUACGUGAGUUAAGACUAGAUGGUAGCAAUGUGAAGACAUUGCCAGCUAGGAUCAAGCAUCUAGAUAAUCUAAGCAUUCUGGCCUUAGAAAAUUGUAGGAAGCUUGGGAGUCUAACAGAGCUUCCACCAUUUGUCACAGUGUUGAAUGCCAUGAACUGCAGGUCAUUGAGGACAGUAUCCAUUUUAACGACACCUUACGCAAUUUUAAGGGUGAAGACCAGAUUCAUUUCAUUCAUGAAUUGUGUUGCAUUGGAUGAACCUUCAUUCCAUUGCAUUAUGGAGGUUGCUCACUCAGAAACCGAGCUUGCGGCACGUGAAAUUAAUUAUAAAUUUGUGAAAGUUUGUUUCCCAGGUAGCAGAGUCCCAGGGCAUUUCAAAUAUCGAACAACAGACUCCUCAAUCACUAUUGAUCUUCCUUCUUCCCGAUCUGACUUUGUGGGAUUAUGUUUGUGUGUGGUUCUUUCCCACUCCUGGGGAAUGAAGAACCUUGGUGCUAAAAUAUGGUGUCAGUGCUACGUGGCAAAUGGUAGGAGGUUGGGACCCGCGACCACCUGGUAUGAUGAGGUUGUCACUGGGUUGAAUUCUGAUCAUGUUUUUAUAUGGUAUGACGCAAACCAUUUUGACAGCAUCGUCGAAAUUUAUGACACUGGUGAAAGACGUGUUUCCUUUGAGUUUUUUGUUACAAAUGCUAUUGGGCAACAUUUGACCAUCGGUACCCGAGAGUGUGGGGUCUUUCUGAUACUUGACCAGAAAAAUCAUUUUUCCGUUCCCCUUAAACUGCGGAAUAAGUUGUCUGUCGCGCUAUAUGUUCAGCGGGCUGCAUACGAUUUUAUUACGCGUGAUGAGAACGAUUGCAUUGACAUAAAUAAUCAGGAGCGGGAUUUGACUGAAGAUUGUUCUUGUUCGUGUGUCUGUUUAUUCGAUGUCUUAAGGUAUUUACGAAGACUGAUCAGCAUUUAGAAAGGCGUCAAAGCAGUAAUGAAAUACAGGAAAUUCUGGCUAUUUAGCUAUAACAUUGCAAUUCUAAAGAACAGAAGAGAAGUUGAUGAAAGUGAAAAAGGAAGCUUCUGCAGUAUCCAUCCGGUAAUACAUGAAGAUGAGUACAUAUUGGAUGGAAGUAUUUGUGAAUUUAUUAGUUACAUCGCUGAAGAAAUCAUCCUUAUUUAAGGCAAUGAUAAGUAAAGUUGUCUCCUUAAGAACUUGGUUAACAACAACAACAACAACAAUAAACUGCUGCUUCUACUUGCUACUGCUACUACUGCCACCACCACUACUACUACUGCUACUGCCACCACCACUACUACUACUGCUACUACUACUCCUGCUACUACUACUACUACUACCACCACUACUACUACUACUACUAUUACUACUAUGCUUAGAGGAUGAGAACACCCUAGGAGCUCCAUUUCAUCACUUCCAUCAAUUCUUCACAAUUUUGUGUGAUUCCAAUGGCUACUUGUAGCUAAACUCCCAUUCAUUGAGAUUAGAUGUAACUAGUUGAAUCUCAUGUAUUAACUUUACUUCAUUAAUCGAUGUUUUAUUUCAUUAUUUAGUGUUUUUCUCUUUUCUUAA